CGGCAACUGUGGGUCCAUCUUACAGAUAAAGCCUGUGCUACAUUGUCCUCCUUCUAUAUUCAGCACAUGCUUAAUAAGCUCCUGUACUAUUCUUGGCACCCGAGGGUCACUGAUGGACAUGGGGCAGACAAGAACCUGCCCUCUGGAGCCUCCAGUUGGAUUCUGUUCAUCCACCCUGCAAUGACGGAUCUACCCAACCUGCUGAUUCAACAUGGCAGCUGCUGGUCAAUAGUUCAUUGAAAAUAAAAUUAAAUUCUUUAAUUCUAAUUGAUUGCAACUUAACUGCAGACAGAUAUGUCUGGAGGCUACCCUGCUGGACAAAAUCUUCAUGUACACUGUCUAUAUCUUGACAUAGCUCUUUUGAGUGUCUGAC
rnacentral:lncRNA from 1 species